AUCCUGUCUGAAUAUGGGGGGACCAUCCUCCAAGGCUAAAUACUCCUGACUGACCGAUAGUGAACCAGUACCGUGAGGGAAAGGCGAAAAGAACCCCGGCGAGGGGAGUGAAAAAGAACCUGAAACCGUGUACGUACAAGCAGUGGGAGCCUCUUUAUGGGGUGACUGCGUACCUUUUGUAUAAUGGGUCAGCGACUUAUAUUCUGUAGCAAGGUUAACCGAAUAGGGGAGCCGAAGGGAAACCGAGUCUUAACUGGGCGUUAAGUUGCAGGGUAUAGACCCGAAACCCGGUGAUCUAGCCAUGGGCAGGUUGAAGGUUGGGUAACACUAACUGGAGGACCGAACCGACUAAUGUUGAAAAAUUAGCGGAUGACUUGUGGCUGGGGGUGAAAGGCCAAUCAAACCGGGAGAUAGCUGGUUCUCCCCGAAAGCUAUUUAGGUAGCGCCUCGUGAAUUCAUCUCCGGGGGUAGAGCACUGUUUCGGCAAGGGGGUCAUCCCGACUUACCAACCCGAUGCAAACUGCGAAUACCGGAGAAUGUUAUCACGGGAGACACACGGCGGGUGCUAACGUCCGUCGUGAAGAGGGAAACAACCCAGACCGCCAGCUAAGGUCCCAAAGUCAUGGUUAAGUGGGAAACGAUGUGGGAAGGCCCAGACAGCCAGGAUGUUGGCUUAGAAGCAGCCAUCAUUUAAAGAAAGCGUAAUAGCUCACUGGUCGAGUCGGCCUGCGCGGAAGAUGUAACGGGGCUAAACCAUG
rnacentral:rRNA from 2 species